UACGGAGGGGGCUAGCGUUGUUCGGAAUUACUGGGCGUAAAGCGCGCGUAGGCGGAUUGGAAAGUUGGGGGUGAAAUCCCAGGGCUCAACCCUGGAACUGCCUUCAAAACUCCCAGUCUGGAGUUCGAGAGAGGUGAGUGGAAUUCCGAGUGUAGAGGUGAAAUUCGUAGAUAUUCGGAGGAACACCAGUGGCGAAGGCGGCUCACUGGCUCGAUACUGACGCUGAGGUGCGAAAGCGUGGGGAGCAAACAGG
rnacentral:rRNA from 1 species